rnacentral:rRNA from 1 species
CGUGAAGUCGGAAUCGCUAGUAAUCGUGGAUCAGAAUGUCACGGUGAAUACGUUCCCGGGUCUUGUACACACCGCCCGUCACACCAUGGGAGCGGGUUCUGCCAGAAGUAGGUAGCCUAACCGCAAGGAGGGCGNUUACCACGGCAGGGUUCGUGACUGGGGUGAAGUCGUAACAAGGUAGCCGUAUCGGAAGGUGCGGCU